UACGAAGGGGGCUAGCGUUGCUCGGAAUCACUGGGCGUAAAGCGCACGUAGGCCGAUUGUUAAGUCAGGGGUGAAAUCCUGGAGCUCAACUCCAGAACUGCCCUUGAUACUGACGGUUUCGAGUCCGGGAGAGGUGAGUGGAACUGCGAGUGUAGAGGUGAAAUUCGUAGAUAUUGGGAAGAACACCAGUGGCGAAGGCGGCUCACUGGUCCGCAACUGACGCUGAGGCGCGAAAGCGUGGGGAGCAAACAGG
rnacentral:rRNA from 1 species